GAGUCACGCUGCUGGAGGAGUGAGAGUGACAGACCGAAGGGGGAUUUGCAGCCUCGCUCAGAGAUAAGCACACUGUUUUCUUUCUAUCCUGCUAACCCUCGCACACUCACAGCGCCGCCAUGUGCGAGCGUGCACACGCGCACAAAUGCACACAAACGAACACAUAACCAACACUAUGCCGUUGCAGCGAGCUCUUGGCACCUGACAAAAGUUCACCCGCUCAGAGUUGCCAUGGCAACGGGGAGAUUCGUUGUUGCUACCCAUAAAGCCCGGCUCCCAGUCUGACGAGGGAGAGGCGCGAGGAUGGGGGGGGGGGGGUGUAGGAGAUAAAACAGCUAAUUGAACUUUAGAGUGGAAUUAUGUAAGUAUUGCCCCCCUAAAAAAAACAGCUUCAAAAUCAUUUCACUGGUGAGCUGUCUUGUAUUAGGGAGAAUGGCAUUCUCACUCAGUGCUCAGCUCGCCCGUUUUAAGCACAAAAGUGCACGCCGCUUUACGGCACUACAUCACACACCAGCAAUGGGCCUAGCCGAGCUAACAAAAGAGGCUAGCUCACUCAAUAUUCACAGUAUGAGCACAGUGGCAGAGGAGAAGAGACUGAAGGAGAACGCCAAGAAGCCGAAAAAGAGAGAGCGACCGAUCAAGAAGCCGGACUGAGUAAAUCUCGGACUGGUUUUUACCUGCAGACAGGAGCUUUGCUGAGAAGCAGGUGGUGUUGCUGUUCAACAGCUGUCAGAGGAGGCGAGUAAUACCUACUCCCAGUAAGGUACAGACGCAACAACCACCGCCACCUAGUUUUAUGGAAGAGGCGACAGUGAUAGGAUCAGGGGUGAGGAGUUCGCUGUCCGAGGUCUAUCCAUUGCACAAAGAAGCAGAACAAGUGUUGGAAUCCAGAAUGCAGUCCCUGAAUAUGACUGGUGAGGUGCAGCACGUUAGGAAUCGUACUUCACGCAAAGGGGGUGGUCCCAAUCAAAGUCAUACUGAUCAUGCCUUCACAGCUGUAAACACACACGCAAAUGCAAAUAUAAUUACAAGAGCAGGCUGCAAAGCUCCUGCAGCCUCCUUAGGUCAUCAUGGGUCAAUCUCAUCCCAGAAACUCUGACCUUACUGUCCGUCAGCCUGCUGCCCCCUCUUCCUCUCCUCUGACCCAAGGUUGCUGGGUCCACGGUUAUUCUCAAGGUACUGGGCAACUUUUAAUUGUGUUGCCCGCAGGGUGUUUUUCUUUUUCUUUUUUUUUGUCUGCUGGUUAGAUACACCUAUUUUGCAAGCCAAUGGGAAUCGGCAUAUCUACAAAUGCACAAUACACCGCACAAACACACACACAGCACAACAUACCAGUGCUCUCGGCCCUUCUUGUUACUGUAAGGCUCUCAACCAUCUACCAGUCAAGUCAUUUCCAAGAUCAAUAAACUGCAUAAUGAUAUACAUGCAUAUUUUAUUUGCUGAUGUACUGCAAAAUAAUAGUGGGUGAAAAAGUAUGAAGUAAGAGGACUCUUUUGACAUGAAGAUGUCCACUGUGUCCGCUACUAACAUCCAGUUUGACAUUAAUUCAGAUGAACUCAACUGUAAACACAAAUGUCGCUGUUGACGAAGCGGUGCUUGAGCUCUUUAGACUCGGCUGUCGGGGUGCGUCUUAAAAAAAAGGGUUGAGGACCGAGGAUCUUACACAUCAGUGUUGUAGUCUUUGAUAGUAUGCAAACGUUGUAAUCUGGGGUCGGGGGAAGGGAAUCAGAUAUGACUCCUCUAAAACACAUAGAGAAGGAACAUUGUGGCUCAGCAACUUGUCAGAAGGGUUUCCCAUGGUUUUCUUGAAGUUUAGUUUCUCUUUUAUCCUCUCCUCUUUGACAUUGCCUGACAGGCAGAAACACAAUGAAGGUAUACAGCUCCUGUGUGAAUGUUCUGCAACAGCAAAAUAUAACAAUGCAACUCAAGUGUCAAAAUACUCGUAAAGAUCACACUUAUGUGGCAAUCCAAGCUUUCAUUUCAACAAACCAAGGCACAUAAAGUCAUAUCAAGCUUUAUUUAUGUACAGUCUUAUCAAGGCCAGGCUGAAGGACAGGAUCAGCUGCACAACAGCACCUCUGGAGGGAACACUUCAGCCGGCCAGAUGUUUGCCAGAGCAGGAGUCGAACCCGGGUUCAUCUGGUGACUGCCAACCAGCUUAUUGCACGCACUCCCAUUAUCAUGAAUAUUGUAAAACCAUUAUUGCCAUUAUUAUCAGCUAUUGCUCAUGUUAUCUUCCACAUCUUUGUCAAUGAAAGGUCAGUUACCUUUCCUGGAAAUCUCUCCGCCCUUUAUGGCAGAUUGUUGUGGAGUCAUUCCCUAAUGAUCAUUACACGCCAUCGUUUCAUCUGUGAUACUGGGGGAGAAAUUAUGAAUAUACUAAUAAUAAAAUAAUUACAGCAUCCACGGACGACUGAGUUCUGUUUGUGCAGUGUUUAUCCUUUAAUGGCGGGACAAUUUUGCUAUCGUCAGCACAUUCAAUCUAAGAUAAUUAGCUGUCAGAUUGCAUUAGCCUUUAAAUCUGCUAUGCAAUUUGAUAGAAUGGCAGGGGUAAAGCAGGGAACCA